rnacentral:lncRNA from 1 species
GAGAUUGUUGGGCAGAAUUUCAAGUCCCCGUCUCAGGCUUACUGGAUCAGAAUCCGCUUUUUAAUAAGAUGCCCAGGUCAUUCUUGUUCAUAUUUAGCAUUUGAGAUAUCAAUAGAUCUAGUAAUUGUCAAUCUAGCACCAAUCAGAGCCCAAAACAGAGAUCCAGCCCUUUGUACACGCCUCUCACCCGAUCCACUCUGUAGCAACCGAAUCCCCGGAGACAUCGGAACGGGUGCUGCCGAGGGCAGCUUGGUGAUUGGCUAUGUCGACCACGUGACCGGCGCUGGCCCUCCCGUGCUAGUGGAUUGGCUCUCGCGUACGCUGACGGACAGAGCCGGGGCGGGCCAAAGCCAGGUCGGAGGGGCGCGCGCGGUGGCGCGGAGGGGCGAGAACGCGAAUGCGCGUGCGCGAGCGGCGGGGCUCUUUCCCCGAGCCGUCGGAGGGAGCGGGAGCGCUUCUCCCGAGUUGGUGAUCGAUUGGUUGUGAUCCACCAUGCAGAAGUGAGUGAUGAAAGGCAACAGAGCUGAUGGGUCAUGAGGAUGUAAGUGCAUUUGAAGGCUCUCACACCCUCUACUCCAGGGUAAGUCAAAGGCAUUCUUUGCCAUUGUUGUUCUGGUUUUACUCUUGUCUUAACAGCCUUUUGGCGUCAGUGCAGUGGGGUGCCCUGUCUGUGAAAGCUUCCCAAAGCCUUUAGUAAUUCAGGUCAUAAACACUGUUAAGAUCAGCACUUACAAAGCUAAAACCAUGAUCAAGGUGAUGGGAUAGAAUCUACAUGGCAAUAUCUCAACAUAAGAAUUUUUUAGUGAGUUUGUAUGGGGUUUGAUUUACGUAGAGGGUGAGGGUGUUGCUGGGCCCUUCUGAGAAGGGAACUAGGCCUGAGUGCUGUUUUCCUGUAGCCAUAUCAUAUUGUUAUCUCUGCUGACACAAAUUCCCCUCUCUCAGCACUCUACUCUUCC